GCCUGGCUGGCUCAGUCGGGAGAGCAUGAGACUCUCAAUCUCAGGGUUUUGAGUUCAAGCCCCACCUUGGCA
rnacentral:tRNA from 1 species